UUCUAUUUUUUGUAAUAAGUCUUUACUCUUACAGGCCAUCUCGAUUUGAGCCCGCCACAUUGCAAGUGCUCAGCUGCCACGUGUGGCUGGUGGCCACCCUGCUGGACAGUCGCCACCUCACCACCUGGUUCAGGGAAGCAGCUCGUGGCCUGCAAGAGUUUGGCUUUGUCUGGUGCCUGUGGGGAAGAGGAACUCAGUGUCAUAUUUUGGUAACGUCAUCUUGGGAAUUAUACAAACCCUGGAAGAUUUGCCAUCAGCGUAAGUUGAAAGCAUAUUUUCCACAUUGCAAAAGUUCAGGACUUUACCCGUCCACCCACCUAUCCAUCUACUCAAAAACCCCUCCAUUCACCGAGCCAACAUUUAUUGAGGGCUCCGUGUUCCAGGCACUCUGCCAGGCAUCGGAGAUAAAGAAAGUAAUAAGUGAUGGUUCCUUUUUUCAAGGAUCCCACAGGUACACAGGCAAUUAUGACAUGUGGUUGUGUGUGCUGCAAGAGGGGAAGAGUCAGGUGUCCGUGGGGCCACAGGAGGGGCCACCCCAGCUGGGACAAUGAGGUUUUUGGAAAGCUUCCAACUCAGGCGGUUUUUCAGCUGAGACCUGAAGGAUGAGCUGGAGCUGGUGGUGGUGUGAGGAGGGGAGAGAUACCUGGCAGAGGGAGAGACAUGUGCAAGGGCCUGAGGCCAGAGCCCGGAGUGUUGGCUGUGUGCAGGCAGUUGGGUCUGGCUGCCGUGUAGAAGGUGGGCACGACCUGUGGGUCUGAUCUGUCUAAGAUGCUUAUGGCACCUUCCUUUUGCAGAGUCUCAAGUGGUUUUGGUUUGCCCGGGGAGGUAGGGAGGAGGAAAUCAUUUCUUAUCGUGUGAUCCUGGCGGCCGGGAGAGGGUGAGUGGCUUGACCCCACGGCCGUUCUCUAGGACGUCUCUGUCUUCCAGCCCAACCUUGGCUCCAGGCCUGGCUCACCCCUAAACUAUCCAAUGGUUGGAGAGCUCCCCUCUCCUUGCCUGUCCUGCCAGAGGAAGCAGCAGGGUCCUCGUGCCUGUUCCCUGGGCAGCCGGUAACUUGGCCUGGCUCUCCCCUGCGUGGCUCCAGUCCCGGCCUUUUGGCAGGGCUGCUCACUCAUUACAGCCAUCACAACCAGCCCUUCUCCCUGUUCAUCAUCCCUCCAGCUGAGCCCGUGAUAUUUUCCUUUGAGUCUCCAGGGCGUGCUCCAGUCUUGAAGGCCUGGGAGAGGCCUGACCCAGUCAGGAGGUCCAGGAGGGCUAGAAGCGGGGUGCAGGGGGCCUGGCAGGCGGUGGGCAGCUAGAGCUGUUCAGCCCCUUCCCUCCUUUCUCUGCCCCUUUCCCCAGGGUGGGGCAACUCCCCUUUGGAAACUGGGCAUUGGAAGGCCUAGGGUCCUCUGGGUUGGUUUUUCUGCAACAUGAACUAAUUAAAGGGCAGAACAUGCAAGUACCUUACGAGACCCACAAACCACCCAACUCACGCAAUACACAAACCA
rnacentral:lncRNA from 1 species